rnacentral:misc_RNA from 1 species
AACGCACAUUGCGCCCCUUGGUAUUCCAUGGGGCAUGCCUGUUCGAGCGUCAUUUGUACCCUCCAGCCCUGCUGGGUGUUGGGCGUUUGUUCCGCUGCACGCGUGAACUCGCCUCAAAUACAUUGGCAGCCCGCCGUCCCGUGUGGGAGCGCAGCACAUUUUGCGCUCUCCACUGCAGACGGUGGCAUCCACAAGUCUACAUUUUUACGCUUGACCUCGGAUCAGGUAGGGAUACCCGCUGAACUUAA